rnacentral:lncRNA from 1 species
GAUUUGUUAGAGUUUUAUCGGAGUCAGCAGGAUCUUCAUUGGCCCAGAUCGCCUCCCGUCCACCCGAGAGGAGUUGGUGAGGACACCAGGUUCAGGCCGCCACAGACACAUUUCUAAAGACACCGGAAGAAGCUUGUCCAGCCACUCAGCCUAUGGUUGGGAGAUUGACGGAUGCCUAUGGUGAUAUAGCCACUCGACAGGGUCGAGUUUUCUCUCCCACCCCGGGAGAAUUGAUGAGGACAUCCAGUUUUAAUUAUUUUAGCAGUUUUAAUUAUUUUAGUUGGAUUUAGGUUAUUUUAAUUUUAU